AGGGGUAUAGCUCAGUGGUAGAGCACGUUCUUAACAUGCACAGGGUCCUGGGUUCAAUCCUCAGUACCUCCA
rnacentral:tRNA from 1 species